ACGGGAGGCAGCAGUGGGGAAUAUUGGGCAAUGGGGGGAACCCUGACCCAGCAACGCCGCGUGAGGGAAGAAGGUUUUCGGAUCGUAAACCUCUGUCCUUGGUGAAGAGGAAGAGACGGUAGCCAAGGAGGAAGCCCCGGCUAACUACGUGCCAGCAGCCGCGGUAAUACGUAGGGGGCAAGCGUUGUCCGGAAUGAUUGGGCGUAAAGGGCGCGUAGGCGGCCGACUAAGUCUGGAGUGAAAGUCCUGCUUUCAAGGUGGGAACUGCUUUGGAUACUGGUUGGCUUGAGUGCAGGAGAGGUAAGUGGAAUUCCCAGUGUAGCGGUGAAAUGCGUAGAGAUUGGGAGGAACACCAGUGGCGAAGGCGACUUACUGGGCUUUAACUGACGCUGAGGCUCGAAAGCGUGGGGAGCAAACAGGAUUAGAUACCCUGGUA
rnacentral:rRNA from 1 species